GGGGUAUAUUGCGCAAUGGGGGAAACCCUGACGCAGCAAUACCGCGGGAGUGAAGAAGGGUUUCGGAUCGUAAAACUCUGUUAUUGGGGGAGAAAAAAAGACGGGACCCAAGAAGAAAGUCCAGGCGAACUACGGGCCAGCAGCCGCGGUAAUACGUAGGGGACAAGCGUUGUCCGGAUUUACUGGGCGUAAAGGGCACGCAGGCGGUUUUUUAAGUCAGAUGUGAAAGGUACCGGCUCAACCGGUAACAUGCAUUUGAAACUGAAAGACUUGAGUAUUGGAGAGGCAUGUGGAAUUCCUAGUGUAGCGGUGAAAUGCGUCGAUAUUAGGAGGAACACCGGUGGCGAAGGCGGCUUGCUGGACAAAUACUGACGCUGAGGUGCGAAAGCGUGGGGAGCAAACA
rnacentral:rRNA from 1 species